UACGUAGGGUGCAAGCGUUGUCCGGAAUUAUUGGGCGUAAAGAGCUCGUAGGCGGUCUGUCGCGUCGGAUGUGAAAAUCCAGGGCUCAACCCUGGACCUGCAUUCGAUACGGGCAGACUAGAGUUCGGUAGGGGAGACUGGAAUUCCUGGUGUAGCGGUGAAAUGCGCAGAUAUCAGGAGGAACACCGGUGGCGAAGGCGGUUCUCUGGGCCUGACCUGACGCUGAGGAGCGAAAGCGUGGGGAGCGAACAGG
rnacentral:rRNA from 1 species